rnacentral:rRNA from 1 species
AGUGAACGCUGGCGGUAGGCCUAACACAUGCAAGUCGAACGGCAGCGCAGUAAGAGCUUGCUCUUACGGGUGGCGAGUGGCGGACGGGUGAGGAAUACAUCGGAAUCUACUUUUUCGUGGGGGAUAACGUAGGGAAACUUACGCUAAUACCGCAUACGACCUACGGGUGAAAGCAGGGGAUCUUCGGACCUUGCGCGAUUGAAUGAGCCGAUGUCGGAUUAGCUAGUUGGCGGGGUAAAGGCCCACCAAGGCGACGAUCCGUAGCUGAUCUGAGAGGAUGAUCAGCCACACUGGAACUGAGACACGGUCCAGACUCCUACGGGAGGCAGCAGUGGGGAAUAUUGGACAAUGGGCGCAAGCCUGAUCCAGCCAUACCGCGUGGGUGAAGAAGGCCUUCGGGUUGUAAAGCCCUUUUGUUGGGAAAGAAAAGCAGCAGGUUAAUACCCCGCUGUUCUGACGGUACCCAAAGAAUAAGCACCGGCUAACUUCG